rnacentral:lncRNA from 1 species
GUGCGGGGACACCUCCAAGGAAAAUUUACCGAAAAGAUUGGUAAAACCUCCCUUGAAGAUGGACAACCCUAACCCGAAAAAAUCUCCAAUUCACACACUUACUACAGCACUUCCACAAAAAUAUCACACAAUUAUCCAGCUAAAUAAAAACAAAUAUUAUUCUUCAGCAAUUCUAAACAUAAAGUCAACCGACCGAGCACACCACCGGAAUAAUAUACAAUAAUCCCAAAGUAUUCAGAGCUACUAGACACUAGCGGAAGCAAGAAAACACUAGUAGGUUAAACAGGUAACCUACUGAUGAAAACUGGCGGAAAAGCGGGUAACUAUGCCUCGUCUCCUACUAGGUCCAACCUGAACUCUGCAGACUGGACAAUUUAAAACGAAGAGCCCAGGGGAAAACAUGUGGAACAGUUAGAGUGAGUGGACAAAAAUAAAUUAAAUAAAAAUAUUUCUUUAUGCUUCCCCAAUUUAAUUUCCAAAGAAAAUUUACUGCAUGCAAUCGCUCAAAAGCGCUCAACUCAAAAACUGGCAACUUUACGACCAGCACUGGCUAGUCUCCAAAACUUAAUAAAAUACAGCCUCUCAGGCUAAAUUAUAUAUAAACAUAUAUAAGUGUAUGUAUUCACACUCGUCAGACUCCUUAUAUGAACUCUAAGAACGAAUUAGAAAAAUAGAAAUUCAUACAAGGCUACUACGCUUGCGUCUAACGCUCACGUCACACCAUAAUGGAAUUGUACCUCAGUAUGGCGGAAAAAGCACGAGUGUAUAUACGUGUGGACUCCCUAUAUGAAAACCUAAAUAAACCAAAUAAGAAAAUAGUUUUCAUAUAGGGCUACUACGGUUGUGUCUAACACUCAUGUCACACCAUAAUGGUAUUUUACCUCAUUAUGGCGGAUCAGCACGUAUGGCUAGCUAGCAUUUACAUAUACAUACUAUCAUCAUAAACAUCCAAUAAACAUAUCCACCGAAAAUCUCAUUUUCGGGAUCUCUCCAAAGGAGGAAAAUUGCCAAUUAUCCGAAAAAUCAUAAAUCUCAGGAAAAGAAUUAAAUGAUCAACAGAUAAUUCAUCGCAUGCUUUUCAAUUAAAAUAAAGGUCCACUCACAAAUUAGGCCUAAGCCUGAUGACGCUCCGAGGCUUCCUCUGCUCGGGCCUCCUCUCGUCCUGUUCCAAAUAUAUAAUUAAUUUCCCAACUAACAAUCCAAUAAUUAAUCAAAAUAGGCAAAAUUACCCGAGAGCCAUAAACACACUCAUCAUUGCCUAACUUCGAUAUUCUUAAAUCGGAACGAUCCGAACUUAAAUAUCAUC